GAUGAACGCUAGCUACAGGCUUAACACAUGCAAGUCGAGGGACCGGCGCACGGGUGAGUAACACGUAUCCACCCUGCCCUUUACUCGGGGAUAGCCUUUCGAAAGAAAGAUUAAUACCCGAUGUAAAGGAGCGGGAUGCGUUCCAUUAGGUUGUUGGUGAGGUAACGGCUCACCAAGCCUUCGAUGGCUAGGGGUUCGGAGAGGAAGGUCCCCGACAUUGGAACGGGGACACGGUCCAAACUCCUACGGGAGGCAGCAGUGAGGAAUAUUGGGAAAUGGGCGUUAGCCUGAACCAGCCAAGUAGCGUGAAGGAUGAAGGCUUAUGGGUCGUAAACUUCUUUUAUAUAAGAAUAUGUAUUAUAUGAAUAAGGAUCGGCUAACUCCGUGCCAGCAGCCGCGGUAAUUC
rnacentral:rRNA from 1 species